GAGAGAGAAAGAGCCGAGAGAGCGGGUACUGCUGGUACGCCGGUACAUUCCAACGUGUUUCUUCGAUCUUUGUGCGUGCUUCUUCCAUGUCGGUUUGGUGCGCCAUUUUGUCUUUUUUUUGCGUGGCGUGCGAGUGCCUGUGCAACGCGCGUGUGUGCUUUGGAGCUGCAGCCUCAACUCGAGUGCACGUGUAAAGGUUCACAGGACAGGUCUGAAAGGUCAACGUCAAUCAUAUUUGGCCGUGGAUAUCACUGCAACUUUGGCACUCGACCAAGCGAGGUACAUUGGACAGAUCAACCGGACCAAAAGGCGGGGUAAAGGAAAAGGCAGCGGAAUAGGACCAAGGGUGCUCAGCCUUAUCAAAGCGCUUUGAAUAAUAAAUGUGCAAGUAUUGACAAAAGCUUUCGAUGCAUAUUUUAUUAGGUACUACCCAUGUCGAGUGAUGGUCGCAUGGUGAGGUACACCACUCUACAGUUCAUAGUGACACAGAAUACACUUCAUCUCUUGGGCCAUCAUACUAACAAUGCAGCUGCAUUUCAUGUUGAGAGUCUCUUGUCACCUCGCAGAGAAAAUGCUACA